UGACAGCUACAAAUGGGGCUCGGCCACG
rnacentral:sRNA from 1 species